rnacentral:rRNA from 1 species
AGAAUCAACGCUGGCGGCGUGCCUAACACAUGCAAGUCGCACGAGAAAGGGACUUCGGUCCUGAGUACAGUGGCGCACGGGUGAGUAACACGUGAAUAAUCUACCUCCGAGUGGGGAAUAACUGAGAGAAAUCUUAGCUAAUACCGCAUAACACUUACGAGUCAAAGCAGCAAUGCGCUUGGGGAGGAGUUCGCGGCAGAUUAGUUAGUUGGCGGGGUAAUGGCCCACCAAGACGAUGAUCUGUA